rnacentral:tRNA from 1 species
GGGGUUGUUGCUCAGUGGUAGAGCACUUACCUGGCAUGUGUGAGGCCCUGGGUUCAAUCCUCAGCAUCACAU